rnacentral:rRNA from 1 species
GAUGAACGCUGACAGAAUGCUUAACACAUGCAAGUCUACUUGAACUUCGGUUUGGGUGGCGGACGGGUGAGUAACGCGUAAAGAACUUGCCUCACAGUUAGGGACAACAUUUGGAAACGAAUGCUAAUACCUGAUAUUAUGAUUUUAGGGCAUCCUAAGAUUAUGAAAGCUAUAUGCACUGUGAGAGAGCUUUGCGUCCCAUUAGCUAGUUGGAGAGGUAACGGCUCACCAAGGCGAUGAUGGGUAGCCGGCCUGAGAGGGUGAACGGCCACAAGGGGACUGAGACACGGCCCUUACUCCUACGGGAGGCAGCAGUGGGGAAUAUUGGACAAUGGACCGAGAGUCUGAUCCAGCAAUUCUGUGUGCACGAUGAAGUUUUUCGGAAUGUAAAGUGCUUUCAGUUGGGAAGAAAAAAAUGACGGUACCAACAGAAGAAGUGACGGCUAAAUACGUGCCAGCAGCCGCGGUAAUACGUAUGUCACGAGCGUUAUCCGGAUUUAUUGGGCGUAAAGCGCGUCUAGGUGGUUAUGUAAGUCUGAUGUGAAAAUGCAGGGCUCAACUCUGUAUUGCGUUGGAAACUGUAUAACUAGAGUACUGGAGAGGUAAGCGGAACUACAAGUGUAGAGGUGAAAUUCGUAGAUAUUUGUAGGAAUGCCGAUGGGGAAGCCAGCUUACUGGACAGAUACUGACGCUAAAGCGCGAAAGCGUGGGUAGCAAACAGGAUUAGAUACCCUGGUAGUCCACGCUGUAAACGAUGAUUACUAGGUGUUGGGGGUCGAACCUCAGCGCCCAAGCAAACGCGAUAAGUAAUCCGCCUGGGGAGUACGUACGCAAGUAUGAAACUCAAAGGAAUUGACGGGGACCCGCACAAGCGGUGGAGCAUGUGGUUUAAUUCGACGCAACGCGAGGAACCUUACCAGCGUUUGACAUCUUAGGAUUGAGAUAGAG